GACGAACGCUGGCGGCGUGCUUAACACAUGCAAGUCGAACGGAAAGGCCCCUUUGGGGGUACUCGAGUGGCGAACGGGUGAGUAACACGUGAGUAACCUGCCCUUGACUUCGGGAUAACUUCAGGAAACUGGGGCUAAUACCGGAUAGGAAUCCUUGCUGCAUGGUGGGGGUUGGAAAGCUUCGGCGGUGUUGGAUGGACUCGCGGCUUAUCAGCUUGUUGGUGGGGUAGUGGCUUACCAAGGCUUUGACGGGUAGCCGGCCUGAGAGGGCGACCGGCCACAUUGGGACUGAGAUACGGCCCAGACUCCUACGGGGGGCAGCAGUGGGGAAGAUUGCACAAUGGGCGGGAGCCUGGUGCAGCAACGCCGCGGGCGGGAUGACGGGCUUCGGGUUGUAAACCGCUUUCAGCAGGGGCGAAGCUUGUGGUGACGGUACCUGCAGAAGAAGCACCGGCUAACUACGUG
rnacentral:rRNA from 1 species